rnacentral:rRNA from 1 species
CCUACGGGAGGCAGCAGUGGGGAAUAUUGGACAAUGGGGGAAACCCUGAUCCAGCGACGCCGCGUGAGUGAAGAAGUAUUUCGGUACGUAAAGCUCUGUCAGCAGGAAAGAAAAUGACGGUACCUGACUAAGAAGCCCCGGCUAACUACGUGCCAGCAGCCGCGGUAAUACGGAGGGUCCGGGCGUUAUCCGGAUUUAUUGGGUUGAAAGGGAGCGUAGGCAGGAUUUUAAGUCAGCUGUGAAAGUCCGCGGCUCAACCGUGGAAUUGCAGUUGAAACUGGAGGCCUUGAGUGCACACAGGGAUGCCGGAAUUCAAGGUGUAGCGGUGAAAUGCGUAGAUAUCAUGAAGAACUCCGAUCGCGAAGGCAAGUGUCCGGGGUGCAACUGACGCUGAGGCUCGAAAGUGCGGGUAUCAAACAGGAUUAGAUACCCCUGUAGUC